UUUUUUUCUUUUUUCAUUUUUUAGUGCAAUUACUACCUCUUAACCUGCUUUAUAACUUACUCAUUUGUUACGUUUCCUGUUUGCCCUCCUUCACAGAACAUAAACUUCACGAGGGCAAGGAUUAUUGUCUGAUGUGCUUAGGACCCAAAUAUUUAGGGUAAUCUAGUUCCUAGUAAAUUCUUAAUAAAUAUUUAUUGGAAAAAAAAAUGAACAGCAUAAAUGGCAAAGAUCUUACUGAUUACCACGCAGAAACAAAUCUGUGGUUAUAAAAAAUAGAAGUUUUAGAAUUGUUUCCCUACUGAAGUUUUGCACUUCUCCAGUUUUCUGGUUGAAAUUUAAAAUUCACAGAAGAAAUGCAGCAGUAUUCCCAUAACUGUACCUAAACCUCUCUCAUAUCUGGGACUCAAAUCCUGGCUCUUGUAAGAGCUCACAGCUCCUAUAGGAGUGAGCAUUUAUCAGUUGUGACACAAAUGUUCCCGUGUAGUAUUUUGUACAUAUGGUGUUAACUUUUAUGCUUUAAUAUAUAUGUGCAAUAUGUCUGAAUUAUACUUGCUCUAGGAACCAUCACUUUUACUUUACUGACUUUUGUAUAUUUAAAACCUCAGGCAUAAUACGGUAUUGAAUUAAAGUUUUUUUGGUUGUUUAAUUUCCACAGAAGUAAGAAAAAGAAUAAUUGUUUUAACAACCAAUUUUUUUCAUGGCUUGUACAAUGCAAAAUUCUGCCAAGUUUGGGAAGCACGUGAUAACUAAAUAUUAGAAAAUGGAUGUGAGGUCCCCAAACAUCCCUGCAUCAACUUCAAGAAGGUUUCUAAUACAUGCUUAUUAUACCUAAUUCAUUUAAAAUAUGUUAAAUAAAAGAAUAACAUAAAAGAGGAGUUCCCUUGUGGCACAGCAGGUUAAGGAUCUGGUGAUCUCAUUGCAGCAGCUGAGGUCACUGUUAUGGUGCAGGUUCAAUCUCUAACCCAGGAAAACUUCCACAUGCUGCAAGCACAGCCCCCGCACCCUGCCCACAAAAAAAAGUAAUGCAUAGAGCUUAUAAAUAUAUUGAUGAUAUACACUCACUCAAACAUGAAUUAUAAACUUAUUGUAGGAAUUCUCAUUGUGGCUCAGUGGGUUAAAAAUCCAACUGCAGCAGCUUGGGUUGCUGCAGAGGUGUGGGUUCCAUCCCUGGAUUAAAGGAUCCGGUGUGGCUGCACCUGCAGCUCAGAUUUAAUCCAUGGCUCAGAAACUUCUAUAUGCCACAGGUGCAGCCAUUUAAAACAGAAACAAAAAACACAAAAUUUACUGCAGCCAAGGAUAUAGUAAUUUCUAACUCAAUCUUAUUUUGUACCCUUCAAUUCAAUCUUAUAGUUAUGACAACACAAGAAGACAUCUGAGAAAGAGUGCUUAAUUUUAAAUGUCAUAUGCCCAUUUAAACAAAAACAGCAAAAAGAAUGAACACAAAUAUAAUGAGGCUAAACCACUGAAAUUGAAAGGAAACAUAAAAACUCCAAUAUAAAAGAAUAAAAAUUAAGAGCAUGUAUUAUGAAUGUACCAUGUUAAUUUAGUAUUAACUAAAUUAACUAGAGGGGAGAGCUUUUAAAAACUACAUGACUAACUGCUAUGUAAAUAUUAGAUAAGCCCAUAGAUAUACCUAAGAUAGACUUCAAAAAGUCUGCAAAUAUAUAAAGUGAAAGAUGAUUCUACAAAAUAAAAAGAUCAACCUUUUCACAUACCGUAUGUGAAGCUUACAUACAGUGAGCUCACAAGCUUACUUUCAUCUAUAUUCAUCAGAAAUUCUAUCAUAAUUGAACUGCCUCUCAUUCUUGGCCUAUCAACAUGAAAAAGUUGGGCCCAGGCUAUAACCAAAGACAAUCAUUAUUGUCAGGGCAGUGGCAUGGCCCAGUUUUUCUAAAUUAGUUUUAAUUUCAAAUUUUCUCUUCCCACUUAUUAGUUUGAAACAAUGUUUUCUUCAAAGGUGUAGUUUGAAAAUUCUCUUUGCCUAUUCUAAUUCCAAAUUUAUAAAAAUUAAGAAAUAAUUUGAUUAACAUAUGUCAAUCCAAAAAAUAUCAUUUUAAGGAGACCGUAUUGUUAACCUCCUUCAUUCACUACAACUUUUUUUUUUUAGUACUUUCACAUCAUCCUUUGUAUAUAAAUAAUAUCUUAGUAAUAACCCAUCCUUGUCUCUUUGAUCUGGCAGAAUCUCUACUUGAAAAAUCUUGAUAGCUACAAGUUUUUGUGAAUGAAAACAAACUAUUAUUUUUUUUAAUCUCAUAAUUUAUUUUCACUAACUCAUGAUGGCUUCUCCACCAACCCCUCAGACUAACUUAAAUUAAAUAAAAUAUGGGUUUAUAACACCCAGACAGUUACUUAACCAAAUAACAAAUACCUACGUAGGCUGCUUGAAGUCAUGUCCUCUGAUACACUCACAGUCAAGUCCAAUGAUCACAGAAUUACCCGCCUCUGCUAGAGGUAAAGGACUCCCCCAGGGAGGAAUAGUCUUCCUACAACUUUUUGCAUAGGUCCACUUUGACAUUACUUACAACUCUCCUUUGAGAAUUUCCUAAUUUUAGCAAAUACACACAAAGAACAACCAAAACAUCAAGGAAAGAUUGACUCUAAAUGUAGGACUGUUCUAGGUGUUCAGCUUUACUUGUACCCCAAUAGGCGAGAAACCAAAAGCGUAUGCUAUAAUCACUUGUCCAUCAGCUCAUAAGCCAGGGAGGGAAGAAGGUGAAGACAAUUAGAUAAAGUGGCUGAUGGGAAAGCCAACUGGGAGGCCAGGAAUCAAAUAGCCCCUCUGUCUUCUGUGGCUACUGGUACACACACGCUUGGGCAGCUCACCCCUCCUUGCCAUCUUGCUUUCAUUUCUCAUUUUAUUUUUUAUCUCCAUAAUGGCCUGCUAACUACUUAUUAACAUCUAUCAGAAAACCUAGCUCCAGUUCUGACCAGCCUAAGGGCAACAGGUUGAACCUGGGUCAUGGAAAAUAUGAAAUAACUGAUCUAGUUUCCACAAGGUCUUUCAUGGACUGAAUGGAAAUUAUUCAAAAAGCACUGAAGGAAAUACAUAUUCAUAUUCUGUCUUUCUAUCUAUAUUUCUCUCCUUCAUGGUCUUUUUGUAUUUGGUUUUGAUGAGAAUCUGUAUCUCUAAG
rnacentral:lncRNA from 1 species